GGAAAAACAAAAGGCAGUGAGUUCUCUCAGCCAAUUUCUCAGCCAAUUACAGGUCGACCUUCUCGUCUACCCCGCUCACUGCUGCGCUUGACUGGUCUUUG
ensembl:misc_RNA Y_RNA Y RNA